AAACACCUAUAUUUAUACUAAAAUAUAAGUAUUUAGCCAGUCCCUCCUAAUUAAGCAUACAUUAAUAAUCUAUUUUAUUGUCAACUAGCAUAAUGCCCAGUGGGGUGGGUUUACUCGAUCCACGAGCCUCGGAUCCUCGUUGUUGACGGGCACGUCGUCUCCUACUGAAAGAAUAAAGUGAGAAGUUGAACCCAGGACCCCAAGUGCUACUAAGGCCUUAUAUGACCACUAGGCUACGUGCCCUUUCG
rnacentral:lncRNA from 1 species